CUGGCGGCGUGCUUAACACAUGCAAGUCGAACGCGAAGGGACUUCGGUCCUGAGUAAAGUGGCGCACGGGUGAGUAACGCGUAGAUAACCUGUCUUCAUGUCUGGAAUAAUACGCCGAAAGGGGUACUAAUACCGGAUAUUCUUGCUUUUCAUAAGUUAUGCAAGCAAAGGUGGCCUCUGCAUAUGCUACUGCAUGAAGAGGGGUCUGCGUACCAUUAGCUAGUAGGUGGGGUAAUGGCCUACCUAGGCGACGAUGGUUAGCGGGUCUGAGAGGAUGAUCCGCCACACUGGCACUGGAACACGGGCCAGACUCCUACGGGAGGCAGCAGUGAGGAAUAUUGCGCAAUGGGGGAAACCCUGACGCAGCGACGCCGCGUGAGUGAGGAAAGGCCUUCGGGUCGUAAAGCUCUGUCAAGAGGAAAGAAGUGUACAAUGGCUAAUACCUGUUGUAUUUGACGGUACCUCUAAAGGAAGCACCGGCUAACUCCGUGCCAGCAGCUGC
rnacentral:rRNA from 1 species